AAAAAAAUGGAAAUGAUGGCGGCCUGCGAUUACUUACUUUCAAUAACUGUGCCAGUACAAAAAAUAAAAAAUAAAAAACAAUAAUAAAAUAAUAAAAAACAACAAUAAUAACUAUUAUUAUUAUUAUUAUUAUUAUUAUUAUUAUUAUUAUUAUUAUUAUGUAAGAAAUAACGUUUGGCAGUAAUUUACCGAGAGCGGAACUUUAAAAAACGUCUCAGCUUCAUUCAGAACCUUUAAUGGUGCAGCACACAGCGGAAGCAGAUUCAGCAGAAUCCGGAACUGUAGAAGGACUUGUGCUGAUCGUUUAAUCGAAAGUAAAAAUGUCCACAGUGGAGUUUCUGAUAAACUUUGUCAACGAGCGGCUGUCUGCCGCCGUGGAUGAAAUUUUCACGGUGUUUGAAAACACGAUCGUCAAAUACGAGCAGGACAUCGAGCGGCAGCGCAGGCUGCUGGAGAGCUUCUGGAAGCCGGAGAUCAAGCUUCAGAGGAUCGACCACCCACAGCUCCACGUCACUGCAGCAGAGAAGGUUCUUCCUAAAAAGCGUCUCUGUAACCAGGAGAGGAACUGCAGCCUGAACCAGGAGGAACCAGGGCCUCCUCAUGUUAAACAAAAACACAAGAAACUGUUGUCCAAUCAGCAAGAACCAAAGCGUCCACAGAUCAAAGAACAGCACAAACUCAGGAGGGAGGGAGUGCAGUCGGCACUGAAGCGUCACACCGAGAGCUUUGUGGCGACUCCUGUUUAUGAGGAACAUAGAGAACAGGAACCAAACGAUGGCCAGAUUCUCUUUCACAGCUCCCCAAACUGGAGUCUGAUAGGAAGCAAGCACGUGAGGUCAGGAUCAGCCGCAAACGUGGACGAGAAACAAAGAAGGAAGCGCAGAAGAAAGGCCAAUGAAAGAAACUGUAGAAAACUCUCCCACGUCCAAGAGUCAGCAUAAAAAAGUCUGCAAAAUGUGAAGUGGGUAAAAAAAACUUGUAUGAAAAAGUCCCAAAUGCUGAAGCUUCCCAGGAUCCGCACACGUGAAGCUGCACACGUGUGACACAUAGUUGUAGGUUGUAAACUGUCACUCCACACAAGAAGUUGUGUUCAAGCAAGAUUUGCACUAAAUGUCACAGAAAUACAGCAAACGUGUGUUUCAGGCUGCAAGAAAGCUGCACGAAUAUCUUUGGGGAAAAAUAUGUUUCGAAGUCAGUCACAAGCAUUUCAUACGUUUCAAAGAUUUUUAUUUGCAAAUAAACUGCUGAACGAGUCGGUGUUUGCAGAGACAACGUGUGCUGCAGCUCAGCUUCUGGGUCAAAUCCUGAUUGUUCCUGCUUUAUCACAGCUCCAGGAUCAGUUUGUGAGCUUCUGCUCUUCCACCUGCUUUUUAAGGUUUGACCAAACUAACUGUCAGUCGAUGACCAGCUGAACGUUUUCCAGCAUAUCACAAGAAAGUGAUACCAAGUCGCUCGGAGGAGAAUCAAAUGAACAUUUUGGAUCUGUGACCAGGAAACUCCUGGGAUUUACAUACAUUUGAUUUAUUUGGCAAUAAAAUUCUUUUAAAAGUGUGAAAUGUUCCCGAUGGUUCUCGAUUACAUCAUAAAAUCAUGUAAAACAGCAAAUUUGUGCCAGUAAAAAAAAACCAAGUCUAUAAAUGCAGACUAACAGAGCGAGCUGUGAGGCCAUCUUUGAGUUUCUCUGAGGUCCUGGAGGAAAAGCUUACACGUUUGCACCACGUGUGUAGUUCCUGAUGUCAGUAUUAGAAACAUUGUAAAUAUUCCGUUCUUUUUUUCUUUUAUUUUAAUAAAUGAGGUGAAUUAAAGACCGAAGCUCUAAAUUCUAAAUGAGUUUGUUACUGAGUAACUGUGCAUGUCCUUUCAGCUUUCUUUAUUUUAUUAAUCAUGUAUAAAUGCACUAGUUGUACAUAGAUUGAUACGUCUGAUGUUUUGAAGAUGUUUUGUCAUCUUUUCAUUGUUCAGGUUUUUUAAAGUGACACUCGAGUUCUGGACGUUUUCUUUAAUAAAUGAUUCACAAACCAACAGUCGGCUCUCUGGGAUCCUUCAUCGCACUCGCGAGCGCUUAAGUCAGACAUGGCGUCUCCU
ensembl:lncRNA